rnacentral:rRNA from 1 species
AUUGAACGCUGGCGGCAUGCUUUACACAUGCAAGUCGAACGGUAACAGGCCGCAAGGUGCUGACGAGUGGCGAACGGGUGAGUAAUGCACCGGAACGUGCCCAGUCGUGGGGGAUAACUGCUCGAAAGAGCAGCUAAUACCGCAUACGAUCUAUGGAUGAAAGCGGGGGACCGUAAGGCCUCGCGCGAUUGGAGCGGCCGAUGUCAGAUUAGGUAGCUGGUGGGGUAAAGGCUCACCAAGCCAACGAUCUGUAGCUGGUCUGAGAGGACGACCAGCCACACUGGGAAUGAGACACGGCCCAGACUCCUACGGGAGGCAGCAGUGGGGAAUUUUGGACAAUGGGGGCAACCCUGAUCCAGCAAUGCCGCGUGCAGGAAGAAGGCCUUCGGGUUGUAAACUGCUUUUGUACGGAACGAAACGGUCUGGGUUAAUACCCUGGGCUAAUGACGGUACCGUAAGAAUAAGCACCGGCUAACUACGUGCCAGCCGCCGCGGUAACAC